CCACAUAAUAUUCCACUUCACUUGUAAACAUGUACCAGGCUACCACAACACAUCAGCUGAUGCCCUCUCUUGUUCUAACCUACAGGUUUUCUACCAAGUACAUCCCACAGCCAAGAAAACCCCAAUCAAACAACCGAUAUUCCAGGAACUCAUCCUGGACUAUCUAUAAUCAUGGCGCACGGGAGAAUGAUGGCACAAUCGGCACUCUCAGCCAACACAAGACGAUCAUACAAUCAAG